ensembl:snoRNA
GACCAUUAAAAAAUGAACAUUCUGCUAGUGACCCACUGAGCCAUCAAGAAGGGACUGAGUGAAACCACUGCUUUUGGGUGAAGCAGCAACAUGUUGUGUUGUUUGCUUCAAUCAGUGUUGGUGUUGGGACAAGA